GAAACGUGGACUAACAUCCCAUGACACUCUAGAGCCGCAUGGCUCUAGAUUUAAAAUUCCGGUGGUACGGGACGGGCACGCGCGACAUUAGGUAGUUGGCGGGGUAACGGCCCACCAAGCCGACGAUGUCUAGGGGUUCUGAGAGGAAGGUCCCCCACACUGGAACUGAGACACGGUCCAGACUCCUACGGGAGGCAGCAGUGAGGAAUAUUGGUCAAUGGGCGAGAGCCUGAACCAGCCAAGUCGCGUGAGGGAAGAAUGGUCUAUGGCCUGUAAACCUCUUUUGUCAGGGAAGAAUAAGGAUGACGAGUCAUUCGAUGCCAGUACUUGACGAAUAAGCAUCGGCUAACUCCGUGCCAGCAGCCGCGGUAAUACGGGGGAUGCGAGCGUUAUCCGGAUUUAUUGGGUUUAAAGGGCGCGUAGGCGGGACGUCAAGUCAGCGGUAAAAGACUGCAGCUAAACUGUAGCACGCCGUUGAAACUGGCGCCCUGGAGACGAGACGAGGGAGGCGGAACAAGUGAAGUAGCGGUGAAAUGCAUAGAUAUCACUUGGAACCCCGAUAGCGAAGGCAGCUUCCCAGGCUCGUUCUGACGCUGAUGCGCGAGAGCGUGGGUAGCGAACAGGAUUAGAUACCCUGGUAGUCCACGCCGUAAACGAUGCUCACUGGAUCUUGGCGAUACACAGCCAG
rnacentral:rRNA from 1 species